GCCUGAUCAGAACAAAUAGAAAAAAGCAACAGUUGACCAAAAAGCUUGUGAGCAGGGAUGUAGAGAGAAACUGGCAGGGACUGAGAACUCAAACACUUUUAAAAACAAGACAUUAUGGAGUGGCAGAAAUGGUGGCAAACUGGAGAACACAAACCCUGUCCUUCAAAAAAAAAUACUACUUUUGUUUCCAAAUACUCUUUUAAUAAAACAAAUCACUAAGUACCAGAGUAGGUUAUAGCUGUUACAAUGGUAUCACAGAUUUAUUUCAGAGCUCAAAAGGAGUACUAUGGAUGUGACAUUAUCUCAGUUUGGCUUCUUAUCCAAAACUACGCCCUUAAAGACAUUAGUUCUUUCGAGUUCCUUAAAAUUCAAAAGUAUAUUAGUUCUAGUCUUGAGGUUGAUGAAUAUGUGUAUAAGCUUUAGGGAGAAAGUGUUAACGAAUGUAAUUUCUUAAAGGUCUAGAAAAGAAGGUUCAGUUUUAUUUCCCUGUCACUUAGAAAAAUGAUAGAAGCUCAUUCCUGUUUCUUCUGCUAUUUUUCAUAAGGGCAAUGACAAAAUGUAGGCUGCAGGCUCAGAAGUUCUCAAGAUAUAAAGGAUGGAAAGAUGGGCAAGAGAGAAGGGUACUUUCUAGGAGAGAAUGAAGAUACAGCUUUAGAGCAUUAAGCUCCAUGGAGUUGACAUUUUUAGAAGAAUCAGCCAGGAAGCAGCAUGGUGUCAUGGUUGGGAACAUGACCAGACUCCCUGGGUUUGAUUUUACCUACUUCAUAGGGGUGUUGUGAGACUUCACGCUCAAGUGAGAAGCCUUGUUCAAUUUAUGUCUACAAAUGCAUUGAGCAUCUAUGUACGUUUCAGGCACAAUACAAGGAGAAAAAAGGAUGAAAUUACACAGUAUCUGCCUUCAAAGAGAUUAUACUCUAGCAAAGGA